rnacentral:pre_miRNA from 1 species
UGGAGGAACAACCCCAGUGGCGGCGGUCAGCUCUGGAGUCCUGGAUUCAGCUUCCACAGUAACUACGGAGCCCUCUGUCUGCAGGGGCCUGGAGGCUCCAGGGGCGG